AAUAGAUACCCAGGUAGUCCAUGCCGUAAACGUUGGGCACUAGGUGUGGGGGACAUUCCACGUUUUCCGCGCCGUAGCUAACGCAUUAAGUGCCCCGCCUGGGGAGUACGGCCGCAAGGCUAAAACUCAAAGGAAUUGACGGGGGCCCGCACAAGCGGCGGAGCAUGCGGAUUAAUUCGAUGCAACGCGAAGAACCUUACCAAGGCUUGACAUGGACCGGACCGCCGCAGAAAUGUGGUUUCUCCUUUUGGGGCCGGUUCACAGGUGGUGCAUGGUUGUCGUCAGCUCGUGUCGUGAGAUGUUGGGUUAAGUCCCGCAACGAGCGCAACCCUCGUUCCAUGUUGCCAGCACGUGAUGGUGGGGACUCAUGGGAGACUGCCGGGGUCAACUCGGAGGAAGGUGGGGACGACGUCAAAUCAUCAUGCCCCUUAUGUCUUGGGCUUCACGCAUGCUACAAUGGCCGGUACAAAGGGUUGCGAUACUGUGAGGUGGAGCUAAUCCCAAAAAGCCGGUCUCAGUUCGGAUUGGGGUCUGCAACUCGACCCC
rnacentral:rRNA from 1 species